CUUGCGCGAUUGGAUGAACCCAGGUGGGAUUAGCUAGUUGGUGAGGUAAUGGCUCACCAAGGCGACGAUCCCUAGCUGGUCUGAGAGGAUGAUCAGCCACACUGGAACUGAGACACGGUCCAGACACCUACGGGAGUUAGCAGUGGGGAAUAUUGCUGAAUGGGGGAAACCCUGAUGCAGCCAUGCCGCGUGUGUGAAGAAGGCCUUCGGGUUGUAAAGCACUUUCCGCGAGGAGGGAGGGUUGGAAGCUAAUAACUGCCAGCUGUUACGUUACUCGCAGAAGAAGCACCGGCUAACUCCGUGCCAGCAGCCGCGGUAAUACGGAGGGGGGCCAUCGUUAAUCGGAAUUACUGGGCGUAAAGCGCACGCAGGCGGGUUGGAUAAGUUAGAUGUGAAAAGCCCCUGGGCUCAACCUGCGAAUUGCCUUUAAAACUGUCCUGCUAGAGUCUUUGUAGAGAGGGCUAGAAUUCCGGGUGUAGCGUUGAAAUGCGUAGCGAUCUGGAGGAAUACCGCUGGCGAAGCCGACCCCCUGUGCACAGACUGAUGCUCAGGUGCAAAAGCGUGCGUAGUAAACAGGGAUUAGAUACCCUGCAGUCCACG
rnacentral:rRNA from 1 species